GAUGAACGCUGGCGGCGUGCCUAAUACAUGCAAGUCGAGCGAACAGACGAGGAGCUUGCUCCUCUGACGUUAGCGGCGGACGGGUGAGUAACACGUGGAUAACCUACCUAUAAGACUGGGAUAACUUCGUGAAACCGGAGCUAAUACCGGAUAAUAUAUUGAACCGCAUGGUUCAAUAGUGAAAGACGGUUUUGCUGUCACUUAUAGAUGGAUCCGCGCCGCAUUAGCUAGUUGGUAAGGUAACGGCUUACCAAGGCGACGAUGCGUAGCCGACCUGAGAGGGUGAUCGGCCACACUGGAACUGAGACACGGUCCAGACUCCUACGGGAGGCAGCAGUAGGGAAUCUUCCGCAAUGGGCGAAAGCUUGACGGAGCAACGCCGCGUGAGUGAUGAAGGUCUUCGGAUCGUAAAACUCUGUUAUUAGGGAAGAACAAAUGUGUAAGUAACUAUGCACGUCUUGACGGUACCUAAUCAGAAAGCCACGGCUAACUACGUG
rnacentral:rRNA from 1 species